AACAUAGCCAGAAGAGGAUAUUUUUGGUUUAACCUGCCCAAUGUGUUAGGAUGAAUGGCCGCGGUACUCUGACCGUGCUAAGGUAGCGUAAUCAGUUGGCUUUUAAAUGGAGUCAGGUAUGAAUGGAAUAACCUGGUUUAGCUGUCUCCGAGCCAAUCAAUUGAAUUUACUGUUUAAGUGAAAAAGCUUAAACAACAAAAGGGGACGAGAAGACCCUUAGAAUUUUUUUUAAAAAGGUUUAGCUUUGUGAUUUUGUUGGGGCGACAGAGAAAAAUUUACAACUUUCCAUCCAGAACAAGCCGAAUUUUAAGUGAGAAUAAAUUACCUGAGGGAUAACAGCAUAAUUCUACAAGUGAGUUUGUGACCUCGAUGUUGGACUAGGAAACUAGCAGAUUAGCCGUUUGUUGUGUUGGUUCUGUUCGAACUUUAAUUCCU
rnacentral:rRNA from 1 species